GUGCUCGCUUCAGCAGCACAUAUACUAAAAUUGGAACGAGACAGAGAUUAGCUUGGCUCCUGAGCAAGGAUAACACGAAAAUUCGUGAAGUGUUUCAUAUUUUU